rnacentral:rRNA from 1 species
ACUCAAAUGAAUAGACGGGGGCCCGCACAAGCAGUGGAGUAUGUGGUUUAAUUCGAAGCAACGCGAAGAACCUUACCAGGGCUUGACAUCCCUCUGACAGGUCUAGAGAUAGAUUUUCCCUUCGGGGCAGAGGAGACAGGUGGUGCAUGGUUGUCGUCAGCUCGUGUCGUGAGAUGUUGGGUUAAGUCCCGCAACGAGCGCAACCCCUGUUGUUAGUUGCCAGCAUUAAGAUGGGCACUCUAGCAAGACUGCCGGUGACAAAUCGGAGGAAGGUGGGGAUGACGUCAAAUCAUCAUGCCCCUUAUGUCCUGGGCUACACACGUACUACAAUGGCGAUUACAGAGGGAGGCAAUACCGCGAGGAGGAGCAAAUCCCCAAAAGUCGCCCCAGUUCAGAUUGCAGGCUGCAACUCGCCUGCAUGAAGUCGGAAUUGCUAGUAAUGGCAGGUCAGCAUACUGCCGUGAAUACGUUCCCGGGCCUUGUACACACCGCCCGU